AUUGAACGAUGGCGGCAUGCCUAACACAUGCAAGUCGAACGAGUGGCGGACGGGUGAGUAAUGUCUGGGAAACUGCCUGAUGGAGGGGGCUAACUACUGGAAACGGUAGCUAAUACCGCAUACCAUCGGAUGUGCCCAGAUGGGAUUAGCUAGGUGGUGGGGUAACGGAUCACCAAGACGACGAUCCCUAGCUGGUCUGAGAGGAUGACCAGCCACACGGGAACUGAGACACGGUCCAGCCUCCUACGGGAGGCAGCAGUGGGGAAUAUUGCACAAUGGGCGCAAGCCUGAUGCAGCCAUGCCGCGUGUAUGAAGAAGGCCUUCGGGUUGUAAAGUACUUUCAGCGGGGAGGCGUUACCCGCAGAAGAAGCACCGGCUAACUCCGUGCCAGCAGCCGCGGUAAUUC
rnacentral:rRNA from 1 species